rnacentral:rRNA from 1 species
CCUACGGGGGGCAGCAGUGAGGAAUAUUGGUCAAUGGCCGGAAGGCUGAACCAGCCAAGUCGCGUGAGGGACGACUGCCCUAUGGGUUGUAAACCUCUUUUGUCAGGGAACAAAGGCGGGGACUAGUCCCCGGAUGAGGGUACCUGAAGAAAAAGCAUCGGCUAACUCCGUGCCAGCAGCCGCGGUAAUACGGAGGAUGCGAGCGUUAUCCGGAUUUAUUGGGUUUAAAGGGUGGGCAGGCGGCCUGUUAAGUCAGCGGUAAAAGCCCGGGGCUCAACCCCGGCGAGCCGUGGAAACUGGCAGGCUGGAGUUGGAGAGAGGUACGCGGAAUGCGCGGUGUAGCGGUGAAAUGCGUAGAUAUCGCGCAGAACCCCGAUUGCGAAGGCAGCGUACCGGCUCCACACUGACGCUGAGGCACGAAAGCGUGGGUAUCGAACAGGAUUAGAUACCCUUGUAGUC